CGGCCAUGACAGCCAUCAACUUUCCGUCGGAAUACCUAGCCGUCCUCCCCAUAGAACGUCUUUCUCCACUGCUUAUGUGGCCUUUCAGCGGCUACUUGGCCACUUGCAGGCUCAGUCUCCCCUGUUCUCACAGAGCCUCGUGAGAGGCAAUGGAAGAGUCUGUGAGACACUGGACACGUCAAGCAUCAGCCUGGCACAGGCCCCACGCCAUCCCCCAGUCAUAACAGACAGUCAGUACGUUCUCCAUUUCCUAAGGAUUCAGCCACAGCUGCCUUCCCCAGAACUCGGGUUCCACCUUAGACUGACUCACCAAAACUGUGGCCCAGGAGGGUGAACCGAUUCCACUGAAAGGCUGAAAACACAAAGCCAGAAAGGAGGUUUGUAUGGCCCAGCCUUGUUCUGUCCUUUCUCCCUGAGCCCUGGAGCUUGGGAGUCCCUCCAAAGAGCUGCAGCAGCCCCACACACACUCCCCCCCCCCCAGGAGACCUGCUGAAGGGACUCAGGUUCCACUGGGGGAAGCUCCUAGUGGAGGAGCAGGCUCUUUUCAGGUGCCAGAAAACUGGAAGCAGAAACCC
rnacentral:lncRNA from 1 species